AUAAAGAAACGCGCUUCCACGCGCUUGCCGACUCGAUCGCAAGGGGACAGCCUGAUCAACAUCAAUAUCAGCAGCAAUGGCGGAUUUGCGCUUGCCAUGGCGCUUGCAAAGUUUUCAAUAGUUUUCGGCUAUUAAGUGAUGCUUUUGCUAUUUUAGCGUGUGGAGGUUCAUUGUACGUCUGUUUUUUCAAGUUUGGCAUGUGUUUUAACACAUGUGAAGGUGUAGUCUUUUCUUCUUCAGCGGAUAUUUGUACAAGACCCCGUUCACCGUCUAUCAGCUCUAGCUCGGCAAGAAUAAAGCGGUUCCUUAGAAGUGGUGGAGGUGCUGGGGUUCUGCAUACCAAGGACGUAUAAGGUCACAAAGCUGCACCCAGGUAGAGGCAGAAUCCAAAAAUGCUUGUGUACUUAAGUAUAGCUGCACAUUACAGAAUCCGAGGCCCUCAAGAUUUAUCCGUAGCCCUCGUGUAGCCCACGAGUUCCAUAUUUUUUAUUGGGAUUGAAGAGUAACGUUUGUGCUGUAUCCCUCUAUUUCAGACUAAAUAAUGUGCAUGCAAAAUUAUAUCUUCAUUACUUUACACCAUUGCACCAAUAUCUGUUGUGCGUUGAUUUUCUGAUGUCCUUGCAUUUGCUAUAGCAAGGAUUUUUAACAAUCAGCCACAAAAGAAAAAAUAAAUGGUCAAGGAACGAAGUGGUGUGUAGCAGCUCCCUUUUUUUUAAUCGGCGGCAAGUUUUGCACUCGUGUGUUAGCAACACUGUUUCGCCAGUUGUGUACUUCAAAAGAAGUGUUACCUUUCUGCUUUGGAACUUUGUGGUUUUGUUCUGCCAGCUGCUUGACCAACACAAGCAAAAUGUACUUUGGAUAUUCCACAUUCAUUCUGUAUGCAUUUGGCACAAUAAAAUUUGUUUCAAGAAUGGACAAAUGCAGUGAUGGUU